UGCAAUGUCAGAUUGCUCCAGAGAACACAAAGUUAUUGUUCAAGGCCUAAGGAGUAGUCUUACCCUGAAGAUGACACUGAUAAAAGCGACACCCAAGUUACCAAAUUUAGCCCAAGAUAACCCAUAAACUUGCUGACGGCAGAAACUCUGUCAUCUGUCUUCUGCAUCUCUCAUGGUGUCACAAGCAGAGGAACUGGGGAAACUGCAGAGAGAUGGGAGUUAAGAGGCUUGUAAUUGCGACUGACCAGUCUCUGGUGGGUCCCAGCCACGGAGAGAGGCUGUUGGAGAGCCUGGAUUUCUCCGCCUUCGGAAGACGAUCUUCUUUCAAAGAGAACAAGGAGGAUAGCCGCUCUCGACAAACAAACAAGAAAAGAGAGGUCAGUCUGGCUGGAGUGCAAUGGCGCAAUCUCGGCUCACCGCAAUCUCCGCCUCCUGGGCUCACUUCUCCUGCCUCAGCCUCCUGAGUAGCUGGGAUUACAGGCACGCGCCACCAUGCCCAGGUAAUUGUUUGUUUGUAUUUUUAGUAAAGAAGGAGUUUCACCAUGUUGACCAGGAUGGUCUCGAUCUCUUGACCUCGUGAUCCACCCGCCUCAGCCUCCUAAAGUGCUGGGAUUACAGGCGUGAGCCACCGCGCCCGGCCUGCAAACUGCUUUUUUAACCACACAUCAAAAAAACUGUGCUUAUUUCUUUUUCGUGUUCAGCUUUAUUGAGGCGUAGUUGACAAGACUGUAUAAAUGUAAGGUGUGCAAUGUGACAUUUAAUGUACCUAGAUGUUGUGAAAUGAUCAAGUUAGCUAACACAUCUAUCACGUGGUUCCCAUCUGUGUGCGUGUGUGUGUGCACGUGACAGAGAGCAUUUAGAAUCUACUCUGAGCAAAAUUUCAGUAUAGAAGUCAGUAUCGUUAACUAGAGUCACCUUGCUGUGCAUUAGACCCUCUAGGCUUAUUUAACUUACGGCCGAAGAGCCCUUUUAGCUUUCAGAAAAAGAGACUCUUCCUGCUGAGUCCAACUGCCUGACUGAAAGCUAAACUUGGAUAGGCUAGCACACGGAGGCAGGAUGAGAUGUGACGUUUCUAGGACGAGCUGCCAUCAUAGCUGAUUCUCACUUAGCGACGACUCUUCACUCUUACUGCAGAGCUUACACCUGCUGGUGUUAAGGAGAAGUGCUUUGAAUGGAUCUCGGGAACAUUCUCUCAUAGAGGCAUCACACAGGGCUGGCUGCCUUUCAGGUCUGAAGCCACCCAAGCAGCUCCUUUGGGCCAACAGGGUCAGUCCUUUGAGCUGGGGAAGUCUCGGUGCCAGGCAGGUGAGCCAGUCAUCGGUAGAUAGGGCAGGGUGUGAGUGUCCCUGGUUCUUAACCCCACUUCAAAAUAUUCUGGCUGCCUCCACUUAACAAGAAUGACUAAAAUUCUACCACACAAAUUCAUCUAUUUGGAUUGAAGACCUGUCUAAUGCUAAAACGCAAACCUCCUGAGAAGGAGCACGAAUUUUCGUGUCGCAUUAACCAGCCUCUUUCAGUUAAACGGAAUGUAAUUGCCUCAAUCAUUAUCAUAGAUGGCUUGAAGCUCAGGUAGAUCAGGUGUCAGAACAGUGUCAUCAGCAAUCCUUUUUUCAUUUGCUAGCUCUAGGUUUUCUCUGUUGGCUUCAUUGCCUGGGUACAAGGAUGGCCGCUGGUAACUUCUUACUCACUUAGCAACCCAAAGGAAGGAGUGGCUCUUUCCCUGUCAUCCCAGCCCAGAUCUCAAGACUGUGUCCCUUUGACUGAAAUGGAGCCAUGUGGUCUUUCAAAAACCAACCACUGUGACACUGAUGGAUGAGGCAAGCAGGGUCAACCCUACCCAAACCACAUACAAUGAGAGAGGGAGGGGCUGUUACCUCCUAAUAAGAUAUUACCUUCCUAAUAUCUCCUCUAACUGUAAGGGUACCUGAAGCAAGGAAAACUUCAGCUGCCCUUACGAUUAGAGGAGAUAUUAGGAAGGUAAUGCCAACACCUGUCCACCAGCCCUAUCAGUCACACCACCAGCUAAUGCCAACGCCUGUCCACCAAGCUGAUCAGUCACACAACCAGCUAAUGCCAACACCUGCCCUCCACACUGAUCAGUCACCACCAGGUAAUGCCAACACUGCCCUCCACACUGAUCAGUCACACCACCAGCUAAUGCCAACACUGCCCACCACGCUGAUCAGUCACACCACCAGGUAAUGCCAACACUGCCCACCACGCUGAUCAGUCACACCACCAGGUAAUGCCAACACUGCCCACCACGCUGAUCAGUCACACCACCAGGUAAUGCCAACACCUGCCCUCCACGCUGAUCAGUCAUACCACCAGCUAAUGCCAACACUGCCCUCCAUGCUGAUCAGUCACACCACCAGCUAAUGCCAACACUGCCCUCCACGCUGGUCACACCACCAGCUAAUGCCAACACUGCCCACCACGCUGAUCAAUCACACCACCAGGUAAUGCCAACACCUGUCCACCACGCUGAUCAGUCACACCACCAGCUAAUGCCAACACUGCCCUCCACACUGAUCAGUCACACCACCAGCUAAUGCCAACACCUGUCCAUGCUGAUCAGUCAUGCCAUCAGCUAAUGCCAACACCUGCCCUCCACACUGAUCAGUCACACCACCAGCUAAUGCCAACACCUGCCCUCCACGCUGAUCAGUCACACCACCAGGUAAUGCCAACACCUGUCCACCACGCUGAUCAGUCACACCACCAGCUAAUGCCAACACUGCCCUCCACACUGAUCAGUCACACCACCAGCUAAUGCCAACACCUAUCCACGCUGAUCAGUCAUACCACCAGCUAAUUCCAACACCUGCCCUCCACACUGAUCAGUCACACCACCAGCUAAUGCCAGCACCUGCCCUCCACACUGAUCAGUCACACCACCAGCUAAUGCCAACACCUGCCCUCCACGCUGAUCAGUCACACCACCAGCUAAUGCCAGCACCUGCCCUCCACGCUGAUCAGUCACACCACCAGCUAAUGCCAACACCUGCCCUCCACGCUGAUCAGUCACACCACCAGCUAAUGCCAGCACCUGCCCUCCACACUGAUCAGUCACACCACCAGCUAAUGCCAACACCUGCCCUCCACGCUGAUCAGUCACACCACCAGGUAAUGCAAACACCUGCCCUCCACACUGAUCAGUCACACCACCAGCUAAUGCCAACACCUGCCCUCCACGCUAAUCAGUCACACCACCAGCUAAUGCCAACACCUGCACUCCAUGCUGAUUAGUCACACCACCAGGUAAUGCCAACAGCACCCUCCACACUGAUCAGUCACACCACGAAGGUAAUGCCAACAGCUGCCCUCCAUGCUGAUCAGUCACACCACCAGGUAAUGCCAACACCUGCCCUCCACACUGAUCAGUCACACCACCAGGUAAUGCCAACACCUGCCCACCACGCUGAUCAGUCACACCACCAGGUAAUGCCAACAGCACCCUCCACACUGAUGAGUCACACCACGAAGGUAAUAGCCAGCAAAGCGCAGUGACCUACUAGAUGAGGCAUAGGAGAGAUGGUAACAAGUCCAGAGCUUGGGGCACCUUAUCAGGAAAGCAGGUUGGGGGAUAUUGCAUUAGGGCUCCUUGAAGAGCUAAGGGGAACUCAGGGGCUCUGAGAUUUAACAGUACCUACUCAGAAGCUAAGAAAAACUCUCAGACCACGAGAGAGCAGCAGGAGAACCCUAGGUAGCUUGACAAGUGUCAGGCAGGGGACCAGCAAUGCCACUCCCAGUUCAUACCCACAGGCUUCCCCCGAUUUGCGUGGUUAAGCUCAGCCUCCCUCCUGCUCUAACAGGAGGGAAAUCGUGUGUUCAUGCUUUUCUGUAUCAUCACCCAGGAUCCUUAGUCAUGCUCAUGCGAACUGGUGCCCCACAGGCUCAGCUGCGUUGGACUAUUCCAUGAUCGCUUUUUUGUCGUUCUCACAAAGUGGUAAUCGUGUGACUAAUGGGGAGCUGACAUUUUCCAAGCACAAUAUGAUUAGAACCCCUUGAGACCCAGCCCGUUCUUCUGCUCUGCAUUUACAAACACCUGGGCUUGGGGAAAGAUGAAGUGAUUUGCCAGCCUGCCGGGGUGGGGCCAAGCUACGGACUCCAGCCAGCAUCUUUAAAGGCCAUAUCGUAGCCAAGUGUCUAAAGCCAGGAAAAACUGAGAAAGCAUGGAGGGGAGAAUUUCAAGGAGAAAAGGCUGAGAUUUAAAGCAAUCAGCCAUGCGGGAUGGGGAGAAAGUCCCAGGGUACGAGACGUGUCUGUUGACAGCCUGUGAACAGAAGCAAGGAGGCAGCAGAUGAGAACAUGCUGCUGUUUGUUUGCUAAAGGUAAUAACCACUACCGGCGGGGCACGGUGGCUCACGCCACUGUAAUCCCAACGCUUUGGGAGGCCGGUGGGGGUGGAUCAUGAAGUCAGGAGUGUGAGACCAGCCUGGCCAACAUGGUGAAACCCCAUCUUUACUAAAAACACAAAAAUUAGCCAGGCGUGGCAGCAGGCACCUGUAAUCCCAGCUACUCAGGAGGCUGAGGCAGGAGAAUCGCUCGAACCCGGGAGGCGGAGGUUGCAGUGAGCCGAGAUCCUGCCACUGCACUCCAGCCUGGGCAAGAAGAACAAAAAAGAUAUUGCUGUGGGCAGAGUGGCCAUAUAAUUGUUGGUCCAGACCAAGACCUUUUGAGAGUGAGAGGGCACUGUUAGUAAUUGUACCGGAAGACGGGCAAUAAACCGAGGUUGGUUUGGGCACACCAGAACUCAGGGUCACUCUAACUAGGGCUACUAUCAGUACCGUUGGGACGGGUUCCUGGUAUCAGUGAUGGACAUGCAUGGAUUCAUCCACAGCCCCUCCAUCCAUCUUCCUUUGGGGUUGCAGGAUGGCUGGUGAUGAACAUGGUAGCUAGCCUUGGUCUUUGGAGCCCUGUGCUCUAACCAGCAGAGGUUAUCUUCAGAGACAGUAGAGUCAGAGGACAAAAGACACAAUUUCAAUAAUUAAUUAAUUGAAAUAACUUUAUUUCAGUAAAAUUAUUUAAUAAGAUAGCAGAGUGGCUUAGCAGUGUAGUUUCAGAAUAACAGCGGUUAGUGAAUUUCACUUUGAGGUUUAGAUCUCAGCGAUGUGGCUCUGGGCGCCAUACUUAAUUUCUGUGGGUCUCAGGCUCCUGAAGUAUAAAAUAGGGACAAGCGCAGACACCACCCGAGCUUUUACUUUGCUUCAGGCACUGGACUAAGCGCUUUAUGUGGAUUAUUCACUUUGAUCGUCAUCAUCAAAACCUUAUGAAGCACAUACUGUCAUCACCAUUUUGCAGACCAGGGAACUGAGGCUCAGUGGGACUCAGUAACUUGCUUGAGGUCAUACUAUCCAUCUAUACCAAUUCUACAGGAGCUGUUUUUGGUGAUUAAAUGAGACAGUGCUUAUUAAAAGCUUAGCAUAUUCCCCCUGAUUAAAUUGAUUAAUGUUUUUGUUAUACUUUCAGGUCUGGGGUCCAUGUGCAGAAUGUGCAGGUUUGUUACAUAGGUAUACACGUGCCAUGGCGGUUUGCUGCAUCCAUCACCCCAUCAUCUACAUUAGUUAUUUCUCCUAAUGCCAUCCCUCCCCUAGCCCCUGACCCCCUGACAGGUCCUGAUGUGUGGUAUUCUCCUCUCUGUGUCUAUGUGUUCUCAUUGUUCACCUUCCAUUUAUGAGUGAGAACAUGUGGUGGUUGAUUUUCUGUUCUUGUUAGUCUGCUGAGAAUGAUGGUUUCCAGCUUCAUCCAUGUCCCUGCAAAGGAUGUGAACUCAUCCUUUUUUAUGGCUGCAUAUUAUUCUGUGGUGUAUAUGUGCCGUAUUUUCUUUAUCCAGUCUAUCAUUGAUAGACAUUUGGGAUGGUUCCAAGUCUUUGCUAUUGUAAACAGUGCUGCAGUGAACCUAUGUGUGCAUGUGUUCUUAUAACAGAACUAUUUAUAAUCCUUAGGAUAUAUACCCAGUAAUGGCAUUGCUGGGUCAAAUGGAAUUUCUGUUUCUAGAUCCUUCAGGAAUCUCCACACUGUCUUUUACAAUGGUUGAACUAAUUUACACUCCCACCAACAGUAUAAAAGUGUUUAUAUUUCUCCACAUUCUCUCCAGCAUCUGUUCUCUCCUGAUUUUUAAUGAUUGCCAUUCUAACUGGAGUGAGAUAGUAUCUCAUUGUGGUUAUAUUUGUAUUUCUUUAAUGACCAGUGAUGAUGAGCUUUCUUCAUAUGUUUGUUGGCUGCGUAAAUGACUCCUUUUGAGAAGUGUCUGUUCAUAUCCUUCACCCACUUUUUGAUUUUUUUUUUUUUGUAAAUCGGUUUAAUUUCUUUGUAGAUUCUGGAUACUGGCCCUUUGUCAGAUGGGUAGACUGCAAAAAAUUUUCCCAUUCUUUAGGUUGCCUAUUCACUCUAAUGAUAAUUUUUUUUUUUGAGACAGAGUUUUGCUUUUGUUACCCAGGCAGGAGUGCAAUGGUGCGAUCUCGGCUCACCGCAACCUCCACCUCCUGGGCUCAGGCAAUUCUCCUGCCUCAGCCUCCUGAGUAGCUGGGAUUACAGGCACACGCCACCAUGCCCAGCUAAUUUUUUGUAUCUUUAGUAGAGACGGGGUUUCACCAUGUCGACCAGGAUGGUCUCGAUCUCUUGACCUCGUGAUCCACCCGCCUCGGCCUCCCAAAGUGCUGGGAUUACAGGCGUGAGCCACCGCGCCCGGCCUCUAAUGAUAAUUUCUUUUGCUGUGCAGAAGUUCUUUAGUUUAAUUAGAUCCCAUUUGUCUAUUUUGGCUUUUGUUGCCAUUGCUUUUGGUGUUUUAGUCAUGAAGUCCUUGCCCAUGCCUGUGUCCUGAAUGGUUUUGUCUAGGUUUUCUUCUUGGGUUUUUAUGGUUUUUGGUCUUACAUUUUAAUGUUUAAUCCAUCUUGAGUUAAUUUUUGUAUCAGAUGUGAAUAAGGGGUCUCGUUUCAGCUUUUUUGCAUAUGACUAGCCAGUUUUCCCAACACCGUUUAUUAAACAGGGAAUCCUUUCCCCAUUGUUUGUUUUUGUCAGGUUUGUCAAAGAUUAGAUGGUUUUAGUUGUGUGGUGGUCUUUCUGAGGCCUCUGUUCUGUUCUAUUGGUCUAUAUCUCUGUUUUGGUACCAGUACCAUGCUGUUUUGAUUACUGUAGCCUUGUAGUAUAGUUUGAAGUCAGGUAGCCUGAUGUCUCCAGCUUUGUUUUUUGUUUGUUUUUGUUUUUCCUUUUUUCUUUUUCUUUUUUUUUUUUUUUUGCUUGUUUUUGUUUUUUUUGCUUAGGAUUGUCUUGGCUAUGUGGGCUCUUUUUUGGUUCCAUAUAAAAUUUAAGGUGUUUUUUUCCAAUUCUGUGAAUAAAGUCACUGGUAGCUUCCUAACCAUGAGCACAAAAUGUUUUCCCAGUGUUCUGUAGUUCUUCUUGAAGAGAUCCUUCACGUCCAUUGUUAGUUGUAAUCCUAGGUAUUUAAUUCUUUUUGUAGCCAUUUUGAAUGGGAGUUCACUCAUGAUUUGGCUCUCUUUUUUUCUGUUAUUGGUGUAUAGGAAUGCUUGUGAUUUUUGCACACUGAUUUUGUAUUCUGAGACUUUGCUGAAGUUGCUUAUCAGCUUAAGGAGAUUUUGGCCUGAGAAUAUGGGGUCUUCUAAAUAUACAAUUAUGUUGUCUGCAAAUAGAAACAAUUUGACUUCCUCUUUUCCUAAUUAAAAACCCUUUAUUUCUUUUUCUUGCCUGAUUGCCCUGGCCAAAACUUCCAAUACUAUGUUGAAUAGAAGUGGUGAGAGAGAGGGCCAGGCGCAGUGGCUCAAGCCUGUAAUCCCAGCACUUUGGGAGGUCGAGGCGGGUGGAUCACAAUGUCAAGAGAUCAAGACCAUCCUGGUCAACAUGGUGAAACCCCGUCUCUACUAAAAAUACAAAAAGAAAUUAGCUGGGCAUGGUGGUGCAUACCUGUAAUCCCAGCUACUCAGGAGGCUGAGGCAGGAGAAUUGCCUGAACCCAGGAGGCGGAGGUUGCAGUGAGCCGAGAUCGCACCAUUGCACUCACGCCUGGGUAACAAGAGCAAAACUCCAUCUCAAAAAAAAAAAAGAAGUGGUGAGAGAGGGCAUCCUUGUCUUGUGCCGGUUUUCAAAGGGAAUGCUUCCAGUUUUUGCCCAUUCAGUAUGAUAUUGGCUGUGGGUUUCUCAUAAAUAGCUCUUAUUAUUUGAAGAUAUGUUCCGUCAAUACCUAGUUUAUUGAGAGUUUUAGCAUGAAGGGCUGCUGAAUUUUGUUGAAGGCCUUCUCUGCAUCUGUUGAGAUAAUCAAGUGGUUUUUGUCUCGGUUCUGUGUAUGUGAUGGAUUAUGUUUAUAGAUUUGCGUAUGUGGAACCAGCCUUGCAUCCCAGGAUGAAGCUGACUCGAUUGUGGUGGAUGAGCUUUUUGAUGUGCUGUUGGGUUUGGUUUGCCAGCAUGUUAUUGAAGACUUUCACAUCAAUGUUCAUCAGGGAUAUUGGCCUGACACUGUCUUUUUCAGUUGUGUCUCUGCCAGGUUUUGGUGUCAGGAUGAUGUUGGCCUCAUAAAAUAAGUUAGGGAGGAUUUCUUCUUUUCCUUUUGUGAGGAAUAGUUUCAGAAGGAAUGGUACCAGCUCCUCUUUGUACCUCUGGUAGAAUUUGGCUGUGAAACUGUCUGGUCCUGGACUUUUUUUGGUUGGUAGGCUACUAAUUGCUGCCUCAACUUCAAAUACUGUUAUUGGUCUGUUCAGGGAUUCGACUUCUUCCUGGUUUAGUCUUGGGUGGGUGUAAGUGUCCAUGAAUUUGUCCAUUUCUUCUAGAUUUUCUGUUUAUUUUGUGCAGAGGUGUUUAUAGUAUUCUCUGAUGGUAGUUUGUAUUUCUGUGGGAUCAGUGUUGAAAUCCCCUUUACCAUUUUUUAUUGCAUCUAUUUGAUUCUUGUCUCUUUUCUUUAUUAGUCUGGCUAGCAGUCUAUCUAUUUUGUUGAUCUUUUCAAAAAACCAGUUUCUGGAUUUGUUGAUUUUUUUGAAGGUUUUUCAUGUCUCUAUCAGCUUUUGUUCUGCUCUGAUCUUAGUUAUUUCUUGUUUUCUGCUAGCUUUUGAAUUUGUUUUUGUUUCUCUAGUUCUUUUAAUUGCGACAUUAAGGUUUUGAUUUUAGACAUUUCCUUGUUUCUCUACUGAGCAUUUAGUUCCAUAAAUUUCCCUCUACACGCUGCUGUAAGUGUGUCCCAGAGAUUUUGGUAUGUUGUAUCUUUGUUCCCAUUGGUUUCAAAGAACAUCUUUAUUUCUGCCUUCAUUUAAUUAAUUAACCAGUAGUCAUUCAGGAGCAGGCUGUUCAGUUUCUAUGGAGUUGUGUGGUUUUGACUGAGUUUCCUAAUGCUGAGUUCUAACUUGCUUGCACUGUGGUCUGAGAGACUGUUUGUUAUGAUUUCCGCUCUUUUGCAUUUGUUGAGGAAUGUUUUACUUCCAAUUAUGCGGUCAACUUUAGAAUAAGUGCAAUGUGGUGCUGAGAAGAAUGAAGAAUGUAUAUUCUGUGGAUCUGGGGCGGAGAGUUCUGUAGAUGUCUCUUAGGUCUGCUUGGUCCAGACGUGACUUCUAGUCCUGGAUAUCCUUGUUAAUUUUCUGUCUCAUUGAUCUGUCUAAUAUUGAUGGUGGGGUGUUCAAGUCUCCUACUACUUAUUGUGUGGAAGUCUAAAUCUCUUUGUAGGUCUCUGAGAACUUGCUCUGUGAAUCUGGGUGCUCCUGCAUUGGGUCCAUAUAUAUUUAGGAUAGUUAGCUCUUCUUGAGGCAUCGAUCCCUUUACCAUUAUGUAAUGCCCUUCUUUGUCUCUUUUGAUCUUUGUUGGUUUAAAGUCUGUUUUAUCAGAGACUAGGAUUGCAACCUCUGCUUUUUUCUUUUUCCUUUCCAUUUGCUUGGUAAAUCUUCUCCCAUCCCUUUAUUUUGAGCCUUUGUGUGUCUUUGCACAUGAGAUGGGUCUCCUGAAUACAGCACACCAAUGGGUCUUGACUCUUUAUCCAAUUUGCCAGUCUGCGUCUUUUAAUUGGGGCAGUUAGCCCGUUUACAUUUAAGGUUAAUAUUGUUAUGUGCAAAUUUGAUCCUGGCAUUAUUCUUGCUGGGUGUUUUGUCUGUUAGUUGAUGGAGUUUCUUCAUAGUAUCAAUGCUCCUUACGAUUUGGUAUGUUUUUGCAGUGGCUGGUACUGGUUCUUUCCAUGUUUAGUGUUUCCUUCAGGAGCUCUUGUAAGGCAUGGCUGGUGGUGACAAAAUCUCUCAGCAGUUGCUUGUCCAUAAAGGAUUUUAUUUCUCCUCUGCUUAUGAAGCUUAGUUUGGCUGGAUAUGAAAUUCUGGGUUGAAAAUUCUUUUAAGAAUGUUGAAUAUUCGCCCCCACUGUCUUCUGGCUUGUAGGGUCUCUGCAGAGAGAGCUGCUGUUAUUCUGAGGGGCUUCCUUUUGUGGGUAACCCUACCUUUCUCUCUGGCUGCCCUUAGCAUUUUUUCCUUCAUUUAAACCCUGGUGAAUCUGAUGAUUAUGUGUCUUGGGGUUGCUUAUUUUGAGGAGUAUCUGUGGUGUUUUCUGUAUUUCCUGAAUUUGAAUGUUGGCCUACCUUGCUAUGUUGAGAAAGUUCUCCUGGAUGAUAUCCGCAAGAGUAUUUCCCAACUUGGUUUCGUUCUCCCGGUCACUUGCACAUGCACAGAUUAAACGUAAUCCCAUAUUUCUUGGAGUCUUCGUUCCUUUCUUCUCACUCUUUUUUUUUUUCUAAUCUUUUUGCUUUAUUUCAUUGAGUUGAUCCUCCUUUCUUUAUUCUUAUUAAACAUCCUUCCUUGGGAAAAAAAAAGAGUAUAUUAUUGUGACUUAUGCAUAUUGUCCAAAAAUAAUAUGAGUUGGCUGGGUGUGGUGGCUCAUGUCUGUAAUGCCAGCAUUUUCAGAGGCUUAGGUGGGUGGAUUACCUGAGGUUGGGAGUUCAAGACCGGCUUGACCAACAUAGAAACACCUGUUCUCUACUAAAAAUACACAAUUAGCUGGGUGUGGUAGUAUAUGCCUGUAAUCCCAGCUACUCAGGAUGCUGAGGCAGAAGAGGUGCUUGAACCCAAGAGGUGGAGGUGGCAGUGAGCUGAGAUCACAGCAUUGCACUUCAACCUGGGGAACAAGAGCAAAACUCUGUCUCAAUAUAAAUAAGCAAAUAAAUAAAAUGAGUCAUAUUUCUGAAGUCUGAUUGCACUGGGGCAGCCUGCAACAUUCAAGGGUUUUCUGAUCCCCAUACUCUUGUGUCUUCUGCUGAGAACAGAGAUGUAUAUAUUCAUAUUAGCAUGAGAAAGUAGGUUUAAGCCAUGUUUAGUAAUUUAGAUGAAUGUUCAUAUAAAGGAUGGCUAGCAGUCACAGUGCUGUGUGGGUAGAAAACAGCAAAGUACUUAGUAUUUGAAAUGAAAUGACUUCAGAUCCCAGUUCUGGGCCCGCCACUGCUGUGGCUCAGAGCAUGUUACUGAGCAUGUUACUGAGCCUCUGCAAGCCUUCGUCUGUAAAAUGGGUUGAAUAGUACAUAUCUUUCAGAGUUGCCGUGAGGACUGGAGAUAACAUAUGCAGAAUGGUCAUGUAACGGACACUCAGUAAACACUAGUCAUUGUCACUGUUAAAAAGCUUAGAAUAUUGACUGAAAGUUAAUGGAAAGCCCAUCUGUAAGAUGAUCAUCAUUUAACAUUCAGUAGUAGUGUUUUCUUAGGUUUGUGAUUUGGAUACUUUGGGUCAUAUUUCUAACCCGCCAUAUGUCAGGAGAAGCCUCUGAAUGAAAACCUUUAAUGCUGUUUGAUAUCCUAAGAGAGGACAACAUUGUUGACAUGACCCAUCUCUGAAAGUCCCAAGAAUCUGAAACAUCCAGGCUGUUCUUGCUGCAGCUGGGAAAAUAAAAUAUCCACAUAUGUACGUCAACCUAGACAGUUUUAUUUUUUAGAAAAGUAUCCUAAGUGGAGAAAAGGCAGCAGAUACAGGAUGGGAAGGGACACAGAUUUCCAGUCAUCUGUCCUCAUUUCUCCUAAAUCAGUGCUUGUGCUCUGGGAGCUCAUUACCAGGCCUCCUGAGCCCUUCCCCUCCCAACUAACCACUCACAUCUCCAGAAAUGCCUUUAGCAUUGCAAGCACAGGUUUUAUGGGCACACCGGAGUACUCUACCAACGUGCAAAGGUCCUGGGGCCAGAGGAAAUCACUGGAACCGCUUUCCCCUACACCCAGGCAGAGGGCACCAGAGAAACCUCCCUCAUGUGGAAGAAGACAUGAGUGGAUGCGUAUGGGUGGUGUGACGUUGGGCAGGUUACCUAGCUCUUUGAGCCUUAGGUUUUUCAUUGACAAAAUAGAACAAAAUCUUUGUUUCUUAGAAGAAACAAUGUAUGUUGUAUGCUUAACAGGGCACCUGAUACAUCAUAGAGGUUGAUAAAUGCUAGCUGUUACUGCUAAGGAUUUUUUUUUUUUUUUUUUUUUUUUUUGAGAUGGAGUUUUGCUCUUGUUACCCAGGCUGGAGUGCAGUGGUGCGAUCUCGGCUCACCAAAACCUCCACCUCCUGGGUUCAGGCAAUUCUCCUGCCUCAGCCUCCUGAGUAACUGGGAUUACAGGCACGCACCACCAUGCCCAGCUAAUUUGUUGUAUUUUUAGUAAAGACAGGGUUUAACCAUGUUGACCAGGAUGGUCUCGAUCUCUUGACCUCAUGAUCUGCCCGCCUCGGCCUCCCCAAGUGCUGAGAUUACAGGUGUGAGCCACCGUGCGCGGCUGCUAAGGAGUAACUGAAAAUGCCACUGUGUCAGAAUAUCAGGUGCAGUCCCUGACUUCUGGCGCUUGCAGAGGAGUCAACACUAACCUACCUUAAAUGGCCAGCAUCAACUACAGGCUCGGUUGUGUGGUGUGCUGGGGGUUUGGAGAAGGAGGGUGCAGGCUGCAGAUGCCACAGAGGUGAGCAUUGAGGAUGGUGGGGGUCUUCCAAGAUGCAAAGAAAGAAAAAACUGAAUGCGAGCUAUAACCGGCUCAGAGGGAAGGAGCUCUGUGGAAAUGGGGUGCGUGGCACUGCGGAAGGAACGGGAGCUGCUGCUCACCUUACCUGAUCUGCUCCAUCCAAGACCCAGGAUCUGUCUCCGUGCCGAGGCAGAGUCCCCUAAAGGAAUCAUCUCAUCAGCCACCACCCAGGGGUUCUUCAAAUCCUGAGCCUACAAACACCAGCACAGGAGGUGAAAUCACACCCACACUCUGCAAUGAGAAUCAGUUGUAGGUUUCCUUACAGCUACUUUGAACAUGAUACAUGACAAACGGUAAACGAUGCCAGGAGAUUUUAGUAUGAAUUCUUCAUUCAUUUCCAAUGUAAAUCAAUGAAAACCCUUCGCUGAGUGUGGCGAUAAGAAGGAACACCGCUCUGUCCUGAUGUGUGUUUCCAUUUGUGUGUCCUUUUGUGUCUCUGUGUCUCUGACAGUCCAGUUCUGUAACCAGCUUCUGUACUGAUGUAUUCUCUAUCUACAGCCCAUUUGUCCAUCUCUGGCUGUCCAGUUCAUACCUCCUCUGUGUCCAAAGUUACUCUCAUUCUACAGGGGAUUAAACUCAAAUAAAUGCUAAAACAAAUCAUGCGUCAAAGAAAAAUCUUCAUUUUGGUGUAGCACUGUAAGUUCACAGUAUUUUUGCAAUUAUAUUCAUCAGAAGUUUUUACUUUCUGUAAUAAACUUUACAAAAUGUAAGCACAGGGUGAAUUUUCACCCUGGGAGGGUUUAUCCCUGUAUUUGCCCGGCUGUGUGGCACUGCUCCUUGCAGGGUGAGUCUUCACCCUGGGAUGGUUUGUCCCUGUAUUUGCCCGGGUGUGUGGCACUGCUCCCUGCAGGGUGAAUUUUCACCCUGAAAGGGGAUGUCCCUGUACUUGCCUGGCUGUGUGGCACUGCUCCUUGCAGGGUGAGUCUUCACCCUGGAGGGUUUGUUUCUGUAUUUGCGUGGGUGUGUGGCACUGCUCCUUGAAGGACGAAUUUUCACCCUGGAAGGGUUUGUCCCUGUAUUUGCCUGGGUGUGUGGCACUGCUCCUUACAGGACAAAUUUUCACCCUGGAAGGGUUUGUCCCUGUAUUUGCCCGGCUGUGUGGCACUGCUCCUUGCAGGGUGAGUCUUCACCCUGAGAGUUUUGUCCCUGUAUUUGCCCGGCUGUGUGGCACUGCUCCUUGCAGAGUGAAUUUUCACCCUGGGAGGGUUUGUCCCUGUAUUUGCCCGGCUGUGUGGCACUGCUCCUUGCAGGACGAAUUUUCACCCUGGGAGCGUUUGUCCCUGUAUUUGCCCGGCUGUGUGGCACUGCUCCUUGCAGGGUGAGUCUUCACCCUGGGAGGGAUUGUUUCUGUAUUUGAACGGCUGUGUGGCACUGCUAUUUGCAGGACGACUUAUCAACCUGGUCGGGUUUGUCCCUGUAUUUGCCCGGGUGUGUGGCACUGCUUCUUGCAGGGUGAAUUUUCACCCUGGGAGCGUUUGUCCCUGUAUUUGCCCGGCUGUGUGGCACUGCUCCUUGCAGGCUGAGUCUUCACCCAGGGAGGGUUUGUCCCUGUAUUUUCCUGGCUGUGUGGCACUGCUUUUUCCAGGGUGAGUCUUCACACUGGGAGGGUUUGUCCCUGUAUUUGCCUGGCUGUGUGGCACUGCUCCUUGCAGGGUGAGUCUUCACCCUGGGAGGGUUUGUCCCUGUAUUUGCCUGGCUGUGUGGCACUGCUCCUUGCAGGGUGAGUCUUCAACCUGGGAGGGUUUGUCCUUGUCUUUGCCCGGGUGUGUGGCACUGCUCCUUGCAGGGUGAGUCUUCACCCUGGGAGGGAUUGUUUCUGUAUUUGAACGGCUGUUUGGCACUGCCUUUUGCAGGGUGAGUCUUCAACCUGGGAGGGUUUGUCCUUGUCUUUGCCCGGGUGUGUGGCACUGCUCCUUGCAGGGUGAGUCUUCACCCUGGGAGGGUUUGUUUCUGUAUUUUCCCGGCUGUGUGGCACUGCUCCUUGCAGGACAAAUUUUCAUUCUGGGCAGACUGUCCUUGUAUUUGCCCGGGUGUGUGGUACUACUCCUUGCAGGGUGAAACUUCACCCUGAAGGGUUUCUCCCUAUAUUUGCCCGGGUGUGUGGCACUGCUCCUUGCAGGACAAAUUUCCACCCUGGGAGUGUUUGUCCCUGUAUUUUCCCGGCUGUGUGGUACUGCUCCUUGCAGGGUGAGCCUUCACCCUUGGAGGGUUUGUCCCUGUAUUUGCCCGGCUGUGUGGCACUGCAAUUUUCCGGACGAAUUUUCACCCCGGGAGGGUUUGUCCCUGUAUUUGCCCAGCUGUGUGGCACUGCUUCUUGUAAAGUGAGUCUUCACCCUUGGAGGGUUUUUUCUUGUAUUCGCCCGGCUGUGUGGCACUGCUUUUUACAGGGUGAAUUUUCACCCUGAAAGGGUUUGUCCCUGUAUUUGCCCGGGUGUGUGGAACUGCUCCUUGCAGGUUGAAUUUUCACCCUGGGAGGGGUUGUCGCUGUAUUUGCCCAGUUGUGUGGCACUGCGCCUUGCAGGCUGAAUUUACACCCUGUGAGGGUUUGUCCCUGUAUUUUCCCGGCUGUUUGGCACUGCUUUUUGCAGGGUGAGUCUUCACCCUGGGAGGGUUCGUCCCUGUAUUUGUCCGAUUGAGUGGCACUACUCCUUGCAGGGUGAAUUUUCAUCCAGGGAGGGUUUGUUUCUAUAUUUGCCCGGCUGUGUGGCACUGCUCCUUGCAGGGUAAAUAUUAAUUUCAGGGAGGGUUUGUUUCUGUAUUUGCCUGGGUGGGUGGCACUGCUCCUUGCAGGGUGAAUUCUCACCCUGGGAGGGUUUGUCCCUAUAUUUGCCCGGCUGUGUGGCACUGCCUUUUGCAGGGUGAGUCUUCACCCUGGGGUUUGUCCCUGUAUUUGCCCAGGUGUGUGGCACUGCUCCUUGUAGGAGGAAUUUUCAUUCUGGGCAGAUUGUCCCUGUAUUUGCCCGGGUGUGUGGCACUACUCCUUGCAGGGUGAAUCUUCACCCUGAAGGGUUUCUCCCUAUAUUUGCCCGGGUGUGUGGCCCUGCUCCUUAUAGGACAAAUUUUCACCCUGGGAGGGUUUGUCCCUGUAUUUGCCCAGCUGUGUGGCACUGCUCCUUGCCGGACGAAUUUUCACCCUGGGAGGGUUUGUCCCUGUAUUUGGCCAGCUGUGUGGUACUGCUUUUUGCAGGGUGAAUUUUCACCCUUGGAGGGUUCGUCCCUGUAUUUGCCCGGUUGUGUGGCACUGCUCCUUGCAGGGUGAGUCUUCUCCCUGGGGCGGUUUGUCCCUGUAUUUGCCCGGGUGUGUGGCACUGCUCCUUGCAGGGCGAGUCUUCACCCGGGAGGGUUUUUUCUUGUAUUCGUCCAGCUGUGUGGCACUGCUCCUUACAGGGUGAAUUUUCACUCUGAAAGGGUUUGUCCCUGUAUUUUCCUGGGUGUGUGGCACUGCUCCUUGCAGGGUGAAUUUUCACCCUGGGAAGGGUUGUUCCUGUAUUUGUUCAGGUGUGUGGCACUGCGCCUUGCCGAAUGAAUUUUCACCCUUGGAGGGUUUGUCCCUGUAUCUUCCCGGCUGUUUGGCACUGCUCCUUGCAUGGUGAGUCCUCACCCUGGGAGGGUUUGUCCCUGUAUUGGUCCGGUUGAGUGGCACUACUUUUUACAGGGUGAAUUUUCAUCCUGGGAGAAUUUGUUUCUGUAUUUGCCCGACUGUGUGGCACUGCUCCUUGCAGGGUGAAUAUUCAUUCAGGGAGGGUUUGUUUCUGUAUUUGCCCGGGGGGGGUGGCGCUGCUCCUUGCAGGGUGAAUUUUCACCCUGGUAGUGUUUGUCCCUGUAUUUGGCCAGCUGUGUGGUACUGCUCCUUGCAGGGUGAAUUUUCACCCUGGGAGGGUUUGUCUUUGUGUUUGCCCGGGUAUGUGGCACUGCUCCCAGCAGGGUGAGUUUUCACCCUGGGAGGUUUUGUCCCUAUAUUUGCCCGGGUGUGUGGCACUGCUCCUUGCAGGGUGAAUCUUCACCCUGGGAGGGUUUGUCGCUGUAUUUGCCCGGCUGUGUGGCACUGCUCCUUGAAGGGUGAAUCUUCACCCUGGGAGGGUUUGUCUCUGUAUUUGCCCGGCUGUGUGGCACUGCUCCUUGAAGGGUGAGGCUUCACUCUGAAAGGGUUUCUCCUUGUAUUUGCCCGGGCGUGUGGCACUGCUCCUUGCAUAGUGAAUUUUCACGCUUUGAGGGUUUGUCCCUGUAUUUGCCGGAGUGUGUGCACUGCUCCUUGCAGGACGAAUUUUCACCCUGGGAGGCUUUGUCCCUGUAUUUUCCCGGAUGUGUGGCAUUGCCCCUUACAGGGUGAAUUUUCACUCUGGGAGGGUUUGUCCCUGUAUUUGCCCGCCUGUGUGGCACUGCUCCUUGCAGGGUGAGUCUUCACCCUGGGAGGGUUUGUUCCUGUAUUUGCCCAGGUGUGUGGCACUGCUCCUGGCAGGGUGAAUUUUCACCUUGGAGGGUUUGUCCGUGAAUUUGCCCGGCUGAGUGGCACUGCUCCUUGCAGGUUGAGUCUUCACCCAGGGAGGGUUCGUCCCUGUAUUUGUCCGGUUGAGUGGCACUACAUUUUGCAGGGUGAGUUUUCAUCCUGGGAGGGUUUUUCCCUGUAUUUGCCCGGCUGUGUGGCACUGCUUUUUGCAGGGUGAAUAUUCAUUCAGGGAGAAUUUGUUUCUGUAUUUGCCCGGUGGGUGGCACUGCUCCGUGCAGGGUGAAUUUUCACCCUGGGAGGGUUUGUCCCUGUAUUUGCCCGGUUGUGUGGCACUGCUCCUUGCAGGGUGAGUCGUCACCCUGGAGGGUUUGUUUCUGUAUUUGCCCGGGUGUGUGGCACUGCUCCUUGCAGAACGAAUUGACACCCUGGGAGGGUUGGUCCCUGUUUUUGCCCGGGUGUGUGGCACUACUCCUUGCAGGGCGAAUCUUCACCCUGAAGGGUUUGCCCUGUAUUUGCCCGGGUGUGUGGCACUGCUCCUUGCAGGACAAAUUUUCACCCUGGAAGGGUUUGUCUUUGUAUUCGCCCGGCUGUGUGGCACUGCUCCUUGCAGGGUGAGCCUACACCCUUGGAGGGUUUGUCCCUUUAUUUGCCCAGCUGUGUGGCACUGCAAUUUUCCGGAUGAAUUUUCACCCUGGGAGGGUUUGUUCCUGUAUUUGGUUAGCUGUGUGGCACUGCUUUUUGCAGGGUGAAUUUUGACCCUGGAAGCGUUUGUCCCUGUAUUUGCCCGGGUGUGUGGCACUGCUCUUUGCAGGGUGAGUCUUCACCCUGGGAGGGUUUGUCGCAGUAUUCGCCCGGCUGUGUGGCACUGUUCCUUGCAGGACAAAUUUUCACCCUGGAGAGGUUGUCCCUGUAUUUGCCUGGGUGUGUGGCACUGCUCCAUGCAGGGUGAAUUUUCACCCUGGGAGGGUUUGUCUUUGUAUUAGCCCAACUGUGUGGCACUGCUCCAUGCAGGGUGAGUCUUCACCCUGGGAGGUUUGUUGCUGUAUUUGCCCUGUUGUGUUGCACUUCCCCUUGCAGGGUGUCUUCACCCUAGGAGGGUUAGUCCCUGUAUUUGCCUGGGUUUGUGGCACUGCUUUUUGCAGGGUGAGUCUUCACACUGGAGGGUUAGUCCCUGUAUUUGCCCGGGUGUGUGGCACUGCUCCUUGCAGAACAAAUUUUCACCCUGGGAGGGUUUGUCUCUGCAUUUGCCCGGUUGUAUGGCACUGCGCCUUGCAUGGUGAAUUUUCACCCUGGGAGGGUUUGUUUCUGUAUUUGCUCGGGUUUGUCGCACUGCUCCUUGCAGGGUGAAUUUUCACCCUGGGAGGGUUUGUCCCUGUAUUUGCCUGGGUGUGUGGCACUGCUCCUUGCAGAGUGAAUUUUUACCCUGGGAGGGUUUUUCUCUGUAUUUGCCCGGCUGUGUGGCACUGCUCCUUGCACGGUGAGUUUUCAUUCUGGGAGGGUGUGUCCCUGUAUUUGCCUGGGUGUGUGGCACUGCUCCUUGCAGGAUGAGUCUUCACCCUGGGAGGGUUUGUCCCUGUCUUUGCCUGGGUGGGUGGCACUGCUUCUUGCUGGGUGAAUUUUCACCCUGGGAGAGUUUGUCCCUGUAUUUGCCCGGCUGUGUGGCACUGCUCCUUGCAGGAUGAAUUUUGACCCUUGGAGGGUUUGUCCCUGUAUUUGUCCGGGUGUGUGGCACUGCUCCUUGCAGGGUGAAUUUUCACCCUGGGAGGGUUUGUCCCUGUUUUUGCCCGGGUGUGUGGCACUGCCCGUUGCAGGAUGAAUUUUUGUCCUGAAAGGGUUUGUCCCUGUAUUUGCCCGGGUGUGUGGCACUGCUGUUUGCAGGACAAAUUCUCACCCUGGGAGGGUUUGUCCCUGUAUUUGCGGGGCUGUGUGGCACUGCUUUUUGCUGGGUGAGUCUUCACCCUGGGAGGGUUUGUCCCUGUAUUUGCCCGGGUAUCUGGAACUGCUCCUUGCAGGGUGAAUUUUCACCCUUGGAGUGUUUGUCCCGGUAUUUGCCCGGCUGAGAGGCACUGCUCCUUGCAGGGUGAGUCUUCACCCUGGGAGGGUUUGUCCCUGUAUUUGCCUGGGUGUGUGGUACUGCCCCUUGCAGGGUAAAUUUUCACCCUGGGAGGGUUUGUCCCUGUAUUUGCCCGGGUGUGUGGCACUGCUCCUUGCAGUGUGAAUCUUCACCCUAAAAAAGUUAGUCCCUGUAUUUGCACGGGUGUGUGGCACUGCUCCUUGCAGGGUUAAUUUUUACCCUGGAAGGGUUUGUCUCUGUAUUUGCCCAGCUCUGUGGCACUGUUUUUUGCAGAGUGAGUCUGCACCCUGGGAGGGUUUGUCCCUGUAUUUGCCCGGGUGAGUGGCACUGCUCCUUGCAGGGUAAAUUUUCACCCUUUGAGGGUGUGUCCCUGUAUUUGCCCGGCUGUGUGGGACUGUGCCUUGCAGGGUGAGUCUUCAACAUGGGAGGGUUUGUUCCUGUCUUUGCCCGGGUGGGUGGCACUGCUCCUUGCUGGGUGAAUUUUCACCCUGGGAAAGUUUGUUCCUGUAUUUGCCCGGCUGUGUGGCACUGCCCCUUGAAGGACGAAUUUUCACCCUGGAAAAGCUUGUCCCUGUAUUUGCCCGGGUGUGUGGAACUGCUCCUUGCAGAGUGUCUUCACCCUGGGAGGGAUUGUCCCCGUAUUUGAAUGGCUGUGUGGCAGUGCUCCCUGCAGGACGAAUUUUCACCUUGGGAGGGUUUGUCCCUGUUUUUGCCCGGGUGUGUGGCACUGCUCCUUGCAGGACAAAUUUUCACCCUUGGAGGGUUUGUCCCUGUAUUUGCCCGGCUGUGUGGCACAGCAAUUUUCCGGACGAAUUUUCACCCUGGGAGGGUUUGUCCCUGUAUUAGGUUAGCUGUGUGGCACUGCUUUUUACAGGGUGAAUUUUCACCCUGGAAGCGUUUGUUCCUGUAUUUGCCCGGGUGUGUGGCACUGCUCCAUGCAGGGUGAAUUUUCACCCUGGGAGGGUUUGUCUUUGUAUUAGCCCAACUGUGUGGCACUGCUCCUUGCAGGGUGAGUCUUCACCCUGGGAGGGUUAGUCCCUGUAUUUGCCUGGGUGUGUGGCGCUUCUCCUUGAAGAAUAAAUUUUCACCCUGGGAGGGUUUGUCUCUGUGUUUUCCCGGUUGUGUAGCACUGCUCCUUGCAGGGUGAGUCUUCACCCAGGGAGGGUUUGUCCCUGUAUUUGCCCGGAUUUGUGGCACUGCUUUUUGCAGGGUGAGUCUUCACCCUGGAGGGUUUGUUUCUAUAUUUGUUCGGGUGUGUGGCACUGCUCCUUGCAGAACGAAUUUACACCCUGGGAGGGUUUGUCCCUCUAUUUGCCCGGGUGUGUGGCACUGCUCUUUGCAGGGUGAGUCUUCACCCUGAAGGGUUUGUCCCUGUAUUUGCUCGGGUGUGUGGCACUGCUCCUUUCAAAGGGAGUCUUCACCCUGGGAGGGUUUGUCUCUGUAUUUGCUCGGGUGUGUGGCACUGCUCCUUGUAAAGGGAGUCUUCACCCUGGGAGGGUUUUUCCCUGUAUUUGCCCGGGUGUGUGGCACUGCUCCUUUCAAAGGGAGUCUUCACCCUGGGAGGGUUUUUCCCUGUAUUUGCCCGGCUGUGUGGCACUGCUCCUUUCAAAGGGAGUCUUCACCCUGGGAGGGUUUUUUCUUGUAUUCGCACAGCUGUGUGGCACUGCUCCUUACAGGGUGAAUUUUCACCCUGAAAGGGUUUGUCCCUGUAUUUGCCCGGGUGUGUGGCACUGCUGCUUGCAGCGUGAAUUUUCACCCUGGGAGCGUUUGUCCCUGUAUUUUCCCAGCUUUUUGGCACUGCUCCUUGCAGGUUGAGUCUUCACCCUGGGAGGGUUAAUCCCGGUAUUUGUCCGGUUGAGUGGCACUACUUUUUGCAGGGUGAAUUUUUAUCCUGGGAGGGUUUGUUUCUGUAUUUGCCCGGGUUUGUGGCACUGCUCCUUGAAGGGUGAGCCUACACCCUUGGAGGGUUUGUCCCUGUAUUUGCCCAGCUGUGUGGCACUGCAAUUUUCCGGACGAAUUUUCACCCUGGGAGGGUUUGUCCCUGUAUUUGGUUAGCUGUGUGGCACUGCUUUUUGCAGGGUGAAUUUUCACCCUGGAAGCAUUUGUCCCUGUAUUUGCCUGGGUGUGUGGCACUGCUCUUUGCAGGGUGAGUCUUCACCCUGGGAGGGUUUGUCGCAGUAUUCGUCCGGCUGUGUGGCACUGCUCCUUGCAGGACAAAUUUUCACCCUGGAGAGGUUGUCCCUGUAUUUGCCCGGGUGUGUGGCACUGCUCCAUGCAGGGUUAGUCUUCACCCUGGGAGGGUUAGUCCCUGUAUUUGCCUGGGUUUGUGGCACUUCUUUUUGCAGGGUGAAUCUUCACACUGGAGGGUUAGUCCCUGUAUUUGCCCGGGUGUGUGGCACUGCCCCUUGCAGGGUAAAUUUUCACCCUGGGAGGGUUUGUCUCUGUAUUUGCCCGGCUGAGAGGCACUGCUCCUUGCAGGGUGAGUCUUCACCCUGGGAGGGUUGGUCCCUGUAUUUGCCCGGGUUUGUGGCACUGCUUCUUGCAGUGUGAAUCUUCACCCUAAAAGGGUUAGUCCCUGUAUUUGCUCGGGUGUGUGGCACUUCUCCUUGCAGGGUUAAUUUUCACCCUGAAAGGGUUUGUCCCUGUAUUUGCCCGGCUCUGUGGCACUUUUUUUUGCAGAGUGAGUCUGCACCCUGGGAGGGUUUGUCCCUGUAUUUGCCCGGGUGAGUGGCACUGCUCCUUGCAGGGUAAAUUUUCACCCUUUGAGGGUGUGUCCCUGUAUUUGCCCGGCUGUGUGGGACUGCGCCUUGCAGGGUGAGUCUUCACCCUAGGAGGGUUAGUCCCUGUAUUUGCCUGGGUUUGUGGCACUGCUUUUUGCAGGGUGAGUCUUCCCACUGGAGGGUUAGUCCCUGUAUUUGCCCGGGUGUGUGGCACUGCUCCUUGCAGAACAAAUUUUCACCCUGGGUGGGUUUGUCUCUGCAUUUGCCCGGUUGUGUGGCACUGCGCCUUGCAUGGUGAAUUUUCACCCUGGGAGGGUUUGUUCCUGUAUUUGCUCGGGUUUGUGGCACUGCGCCUUGCAUGGUGAAUUUUCACCCUGGGAGGGUUUGUUUCUGUAUUUGCUCGGGUUUGUGGCACUGCUCCUUGCAGGGUGAAUUUUUAUCCUGGGAGGGUUUGUUUCUGUAUUUGCCCGGCUGUGUGGCACCGCUCCUUUCAGGAUGAGUCUUCACCCAGGGAGGGUUUGUCCCUGUAUUUGCCCGGAUUUGUGGCACUGCUUUUUUCAGGGAGAGUCUUCACCCUGGGAGGGUUUAUCCCUGUAUUUGCCCGGGUGUGUGGCACUGCAUUUUGCAGGGUGAGUCUUCACCCUGGAGGGUUUGUUUCUGUAUUUGCCCGGGUGUGUGGCACCGCUCCUUUCAGAACGAAUUUACACCCUGGGAGGGUUUGUCCCUGUAUUUUCUGGGCUGUGUGGCACUGCUCCUUGCACACUGAGCCUUCACCCUGGAAGGGUCUGUCCCUGUAUUUGCCCGGGUGUGUGGCACUGCUCCUUGCAGGGUGAGUCUUCACCCUAAAAGGUUUGUCCCUGUAUUUGCCCGGCUGUGUGGCACUGCUCCUUGCAGGGUGAGUCUUCAACCUGGGGGGGCUUGUCUUUGUCUUCACUCGGGUGGGUGACACUGCUCCUUGCAGUGUGAAUUUUCACCCUGGGAAAGUUUGUGCCUGUAUUUGCCAUGCUGUGUGGCACUGUCCCUUGCAGGACGAAUUUUCACCCUGGGAGGGUUUGUCCCUGUAUUUGCCCAGGUGUGUGGCACUGCUCCUUGCAGGGUGAAUUUUUACCCUGGGAGGGUUUGUCCCUGUAUUUGCCAGGCUGUGUAGCAGUGCUCCUUGCAGGGUGAGUCUUCACCCAGGGAGGGUUUGUCCCUGUAUUUGCCUGGCUGUGUAGCAGUGCUCCUUGCAGGGUGAGUCUUCACCCUGGGAGGGUUUGUCCCUGUAUUUGCCCGGGGGUGUGUCACUACUCCUUGCAGGGUCAGUCUUCACCCUGGAGGGUUUGUUUCUAUAUUUGUUCGGGUGUGUGGCACUGCUCCUUGCAGGGUGAAUUUUUACCCUGGGAGGGUUUGUCCCUGUAUUUGCCAGGCUGUGUAGCAGUGCUCCUUGCAGGGUGAGUCUUCACCCAGGGAGGGUUUGUCCCUGUAUUUGCCCGGCUGUGUAGCAGUGCUCCUUGCAGGGUGAGUCUUCACCCUGGAGGGUUUGUUUCUAUAUUUGUUCGGGUGUGUGGCACUGCUCCUUGCAGAACGAAUUUACACCCUCGGAGGAUUUGUCCCUCUAUUUGCCCGGGUGUGUGGCACUGCUCUUUGCAGGGUGAGUCUUCACCCUGAAGGGUUUGUCCCUGUAUUUGCCCGGCUGUGUGGCACUGCUCCUUGCAGAGUGAGCCUUCACCCUGGGAGGGUUUUUCCCUGUAUUUGCUCGGGUGUGUGGCACUGCUCCUUUCAAAGGGAGUCUUCACCCUGGGAGGGUUUUUCCCUGUAUUUGCUCGGGUGUGUGGCACUGCUCCUUUCAAAGGGAGUCUUCACCCUGGGAGGGUUUUUCCCUGUAUUUGCUCGGGUGUGUGGCACUGCUCCUUUCAAAGGGAGUCUUCACCCUGGGAGGGUUUUUCCCUGUAUUUGCUCGGGUGUGUGGCACUGCUCCUUUCAAAGGGAGUCUUCACCCUGGGAGGGUUUUUCCCUGUAUUUGCUCGGGUGUGUGGCACUGCUCCUUUCAAAGGGAGUCUUCACCCUGGGAGGGUUUUUCCCUGUAUUUGCUCGGGUGUGUGGCACUGCUCCUUGUAAAGGGAGUCUUCACCCUGAAAGGGUUUGUCCCUGUAUUUGCCCGGGUGUGUGGCACUGCUCCUUGCAGGGUGAAUAUUCAUUCAGGGAGAAUUUGUUUCUGUAUUUGCCCGGUGGGUGGCACUGCUCCUUGCAGGGUGAAUUUUCACCCUGGUAGGGUUUGUCCCUGUAGUUGCCUGGCUGUUUGGCACUGCUCCUUGCAGGGUGAGUCUUCACCCUGGAGGAUUUGUUUCUGUAUUUGCCCGGGUUUGUGGCACUUCUCCUUGCAGGACGAAUUCACACCCUGGGAGGGUUUGUCCCUGUAUUUGCCCGGGUGUGUGGCACUAAUCCUUGCAGGGUGAAUCUUCACCCUGAAGGGUUUGUCCCUGUAUUUGCCCGGGUGUGUGGCACUGCUCCUUGCAGGACAAAUUUUCACCCUUGGAGGGUUUGUCCCUGUAUUUGCCCUGCUGUGUGGCACUGCUCCUUGCAGGGUGAGCCUUCACCCUUGGAGGGUUUGUCUUGUAUUUGCCCAGCCGUGUGGCACUGCAAUUUUCCGGACGAAUUUUCACCCUGGGAGGGUUUGUCUCUGUAUUUGCCCGGCUGGGUGGCACUGCUCCUUGCAGAAUGAAUUUUCACCCUGGGUGGGUUUGUCCCUGUAUUUUCCCUGCUUUGUGGCACUGUUUCUUGCAGGGUGAGUCUUCACCCUGGGAGGGUUUGUUUCUGUAUUUGCCCCGCUCUGUGUCACUGCUCCUUUCCGGAGGAAUUUUCACCCUGGGAGGGUUUUUCCCUGUAUUUGCCCAGCUGUGUGGCACUGCUCCUUGCAGGGUGAAUUUUCACCCUGGGCGCAUUUGUCCCUCUCUUUGCCCAGGUUUGUGGCACUGCUCCUUUCAGGGUGAAUUUUUACCUUUGGAGGGUUUGUCCCUGUAUUUGCCCGGGUAUGUGGCACUGCCCCUUGCAGGGUGAAUUUUCACCCUGGGAGGGUUUGUCCCUGUAUUUGCCCGGGUGUGUGGCACUGCUCCUUGCAGGGCCAAUUUUCAUUCUGGAUGGGUUUGUCCCUGCAUUUGCUUGGCUGUUUGGCAGUGCUUUUUCUCAGUCUGGUCACUCUUUCUUUCCAGUUGCCUUUUUUCUGCUUGAAUCACUAGUGAGAAGUAAGCGUCAAGUUUGGUAUUUUGUCCUUUUAAUAAGAAUAGUCACUCCAGAUGAGACCCACCCCAGCUCAAAACACUCCUCUUCUCAGUAGGAACACAAGCACUACAUUUUCUGGGUAAUGUUAUUGAAGCAUGUCUGGCUUCAUAAAUACUUUGUCAAGAAGAGAGUAUACAAGGAUCAGAUAAUAAUAAUUGUUAUUAGGCAGGUCCCGUUUUCAGAAUUCACUGUAAAUUCUGCAGAGAUGCACCAGAGCUGUGGGUGCUCUAGCUGAUGGGUCUAGGCAGCCGAGACUCACUGUUGCAACGGUCACGAACGUCCUAAUCACCGAGUCCCAAACGCGUAGUCAGACUUAAUGCUUCAUGGCGUCCGUCUACCCAGAGGGCAGCAGAACGUUUCUUCCUGGCUUGUGAGGCCAGUGAUAUUUUAAUUAUUUUUCCACAGACGUAUUGGCCUGAGGCCCCUGGAAACAUUGCUUCAUUGCUUGGUCUUAGAAGAAUUUACUUGACCCAUUUUGUGGAAGCAAAUUUACCCUGGUCCUUUUUUUCAUGCAAAAGGGAUGAAUGAGAAAUUUGUGCUGCUAAGUUUCAUUCACCUGAGCCAAACACACAUACUGAAAUGACCAGGUUGUCAAAUGCUGUUUUAAUGGAAACAGGCUCUCCUCAGGUCCAGAUCUGGGUAGUUCCAUGCCUCAAAAAUGAAAAAUUCUCUUCUUAGUUCCUGUGGCUGGAGUAUUGGGCAGGCGUCCCAUUUUGUGAUUAUCAGAUAAUUAUUAACACAUGGGGCUCUCUCUUUUAGCCCGCACCUUCAAUGGUGUGAUAUCUGUGGCUGCACAGGGCAAUCCAGUCCACCCAUUCUGUUUUGUAAACUGCCCAACUCCCCUGUGCCCACAGACUGAGGCUGAGGACAGCCCUAAGAACCUACCCCUUAUGAGAUGGCACUUCACAGUUAAGGGAGUCUAGCUUUUGUGUACUGAAGGGAAUGUUCACUAAGAAAUAAAUGUGUUGGACAUAGGCCCCUUUCUUAUUCCUGGUUGGCCUAAAGAUGCAUAAUUUGAAAAAAAAAAAAAAAAAAAAAAAGCGAGGCUGGGGGAGUUGGGGAGGAGUGACUUCAAAACAAAAGAAGUAACAUUGCUUUGCCUAAUCAAGUGAAGUUUGAACUCCUCUGCUUAGCAAGUUAGGAAAAUAUCCCCUCCUUCCUAAAAAUGGAGACGACUUUCUGAGAAAAAUUAACAUUUAUUGCUCAGAGGUCUGUGGGUUCGAGUCCACCUUUCCCUGCAUGUCUAGCCAUGGGUGGAUCUCUGAGGCAGCCAUACUAAGAGUGUACCCACCUGUGCUGGACCGUGGGAGGCCUUGAGGGCCAAAGCCAGCAGGGCUCUCCCUCUCAGCCAUGGACCCUUGGGUCUUACGAUGAUACAGCUGUGGCUGAUUCAACCUACAAAGCCACUGAGGAUUUGUUAGUGUAAAUCUGUCCUUUGGAAAUGCACUGCCUGGGAACAGGCAUGCUCCCCGGAUGAGAUCCCAUGAGUGGAAGGGUCUCCUGUAUCUUGGGUGAAGGAUGCCUGGCUGAGAUAGAAGGAGAGAGAACAUUUUUUCCCGCCCUAUACAAAGAAGCCUGGAUUUGAGAGCAGGAAAGAAGGGUGAGGAGUUGUGUGCACCCCAAGGCGCCCUCCUGUGAAGGGUGCCUUAGAGAUGAGUGUGGUGGGCAUGCUUGUAGUCCCAGCUAUUAGGGAGGUUGAGGUAGGAAGAUUGAUAGAGCCCAAGAGUUUGAGGCCAGCCUGGGAGACACAGAUCUUCCAUCUCAUUCA